AGAAUCCCUGCAGUUUUAGCAGCCUCAGGGCUGCUCACCCAGAGACCACAUUUGCUAACAUCCCUUGGAGCUAAACAAGACCAAAGGGAGGAUUAACUGGCAAUGAUGUAACUUAAGGACAAUUUAGACAGGAGAUCUCUCCCAUCCAUGUCUACACGACCCGUUUUAUUUCUCCCAGUUCACAAUCAUGCACCUAUGGCCUGCCAGGUUGUCCCCCUGGGUCCCCAGAGUCUUUGACACUCUGCACCCCGACUCUUGGAAUUCCAAGCCUUUCGGCCUCAACACUGCCAUGUUUGAGGGAUGAGGGAACUUUGGGUCCCCCUACUUCUCCACUAUGUUGGAUCUCCUAA